UACGUAGGGGGCAAGCGUUGUCCGGAAUCAUUGGGCGUAAAGAGCGUGUAGGCGGCCCGGUAAGUCCGCUGUGAAAGUCCAGGGCUCAACCCUGGGAUGCCGGUGGAUACUGUCGGGCUCGAGUCCGGAAGAGGAGAGUGGAAUUCCCGGUGUAGCGGUGAAAUGCGCAGAUAUCGGGAAGAACACCUAUGGCGAAGGCGGCUCUCUGGGACGGUACUGACGCUGAGACGCGAAAGCGUGGGGAGCGAACAGG
rnacentral:rRNA from 1 species